GAAAAGCUCAAAUUUAAAAUCUGGCGGUCUUUNGCCGUCCGAGUUGUAGUCUGGAGAAGUGCUUUCCGCGCUGGACCGUGUAUAAGGUCUUCUUGGAACAGAGCGUCAUAGAGGGUGAGGAAUCCCGUCUUUGACACGGACUACCAGUGCUUUGUGAUGCGCUCUCNAAGAGUCGAGUUGUUUGGGAAUGCAGCUCAAAAUGGGUGGUGAAUUCCAUCUAAAGCUAAAUAUUNGGCGAGAGACCGAUAGCGAACAAGUACCGUGAGGGAAAGAUGAAAAGCACUUUGGAAAGAGAGUUAAACAGUACGUGAAAUUGCUGAAAGGGAAACGCUUGAAGUCAGUCGCGUCGGCCAGAACUCAGCCUUGCUUUUGCUUGGUGCACUUUCUGGUUGACGGGUCAGCAUCGAUUUUGACCGUCGGAAAAGGGCUGGAGUAAUGUGGCACCUCCGGGUGUGUUAUAGACUCUGGUCGCAUACGGCGGUUGGGAUCGAGGAACGCAGCGCGCCGCAAGGCAGGGGUUCGCCCACUUUCGCGCUUAGGAUGCUGGCAUAAUGGCUUUAAACGACCCGUCUUGAAACACGGACCAAGGAGUCUAACAUACCUGCGAGUGUUUGGGUGGAAAACCCGAGCGCGUAAUGAAAGUGAAAGUUGGGACCUCUGUCGUGGAGGGCACCGACGCCCGGACCUGACGUUCUCUGACCGAUCCGCGGUAGAGCAUGUAUGUGGGGACCCGAAAGAAUUGGGUGAACUAUGCCUGAAUAGGGUGAAGCCAGAGGAAACUCUGGUGGAGGCUCGUAGCGAUUCUGACGUGCAAAUC
rnacentral:rRNA from 1 species